rnacentral:rRNA from 1 species
GACAGAGGGUGCAAACGUUGCUCGGAAUUACUGGGCGUAAAGCGCGUGUAGGCGGGCCGGAAAGUCGGGCGUGAAAUCCCUGGGCUCAACCCAGGAACUGCACUCGAAACUUCCGGUCUAGAGUGGUGGAGAGGGAAGUGGAAUUCCUGGUGUAGAGGUGAAAUUCGUAGAUAUCAGGAGGAACACCAGUGGCGAAGGCGGCUUCCUGGACACCAACUGACGCUGAGAACGCGGAAAAGCGUGGGGGAGCAAACAGG